rnacentral:rRNA from 1 species
CAGGAGCAUUGUUAGCGGAACGAAGCCAUACCGGAAGGAGUGGUGGACUGCUAAGAAGAGAGAAUGCCGGAAUGAGUAGCGAGAUUGAAGUGAGAAUCUUCAAGGCCGAAUAUCUAAGGUUUCCAGGGUAAAGCUGAUCUGCCCUGGGUAAGUCGGGGCCUAAGGCGAGGUCGGAAGACGUAGCCGAUGGACAACAGGUUGAAAUUCCUGUACUGCGAUAUAUCAGAAAUGUGGGGACACAGAAGGAAAGUGUGAGCCGGGAAGGGAAAGACCGGUGCAAGCACAGGAGAAGGGAUACAGGCAAAUCCGUAUCCCAAUCCAAUGGUGUUACGCGGAGCGAACAAAAGUAGCGAAGCACACAGACCAUCUGUCGAGAAAAGCCGCUAUUGUGUAUACCGUACCCGUACCGUAAACCGACACAGGUGGAUGAGGAGAGAAUCCUAAGGCCGGCGGGAGAAGCAUUGUUAAGGAACUCGGCAAAAUGACCCCGUAACUUCGGGAGAAGGGGUGCUCACGCAAGUGAGCCGCAGAGAACUGGCCCAAGCAACUGUUUAGCAAAAACACAGGUCUAUGCAAAACCGAAAGGUGAGGUAUAUGGGCUGACGCCUGCCCGGUGCUGGAAGGUUAAGAGGAGAUGUUAGAGCAAUCGAAGCAUUGAAUUUAAGCCCCAGUAAACGGCGGCCGUAACGAUAACGGUCCUAAGGUAGCGAAAUUCCUUGUCGGGUAAGUUCCGACCCGCACGAAAGGCGUAAUGAUUUGGGCACUGUCUCGACAAUGCACCCGGUGAAAUUGAGAUACCAGUGAAGAUGCUGGUUACCUGCGCCAGGACGGAAAGACCCCAUGGAGCUUUACUCUAGCUUGAUACUGGGAUUCGGUAUUGCAUGUACAGGAUAGGUGGGAGACGAAGAGGUGAUGACGCCAGUUGUCACGGAGUCGAUGUUGGGAUACCACCCCUGCAGUACUGGGUUUCUAACCUGCGGCCGUGGCCCGGCCGGGGGACAAUGUCUGGUGGGGAGUUGACUGGGGCGGUCGCCUCCGAAAGGGUAUCGGAGGCGCUCAAAGGUUCCCUCAGAAUGGUUGGAAACCAUUCGAAGAGUGCAAAGGCAGAAGGGAGCUUGACUGCGACACCGACGGGUGGAGCAGGUACGAAAGUAGGACUUAGUGAUCCGGUGGUAUGAAAGUGGGAUUGCCAUCGCUCAACGGAUAAAAGCUACCCUGGGAUAACAGGCUUAUCACUCCCAAGAGUUCACAUCGACGGAGUGGUUUGGCACCUCGAUGUCGGCUCAUCGCAUCCUGGGGCUGUAGUAGGUCCCAAGGGUUGGGCUGUUCGCCCAUUAAAGCGGUACGCGAGCUGGGUUCAGAACGUCGUGAGACAGUUCGGUCCCUAUCCGGCGUGGGCGCAGGAUAUCUGAGAGGAGCUGUCCUUAGUACGAGAGGACCGGGAUGGACUGACCUCUGGUGCAUCGGUUGAGCCACCAGGCUCAUGGCCGAGUAGCCAAGUCGGGACGGGAUAAACGCUGAAGGCAUCUAAGCGUGAAGCCCCCCUCAAGAUGAGAUAUCCCAUAGAGUUAAUCUAGUAAGACCCCUUGAAGACGACGAGGUAGAUAGGCAGAAGGUGGAAGUGUGGUGACAUGUGGAGCUGAUCUGUACUAAUAGGUCGAGGGCUUAACU